rnacentral:rRNA from 1 species
UAGGGAAUCUUCCACAAUGGACGCAAGUCUGAUGGAGCAACGCCGCGUGAGUGAAGAAGGUUUUCGGACCGUAAAGCCCUGUUGUUGGUGAAGAAGGAUAGAGGUAGUAACUGGCCUUUAUUUGACGGUAAUCAACCAGAAAGUCACGGCUAACUACGUGCCAGCAGCCGCGGUAAUACGUAGGUGGCAAGCGUUGUCCGGAUUUAUUGGGCGUAAAGCGAGCGCAGGCGGAAGAAUAAGUCUGAUGUGAAAGCCCUCGGCUUAACCGAGGAAUUGCAUCGGAAACUGUUUUCUUGAGUGCAGAAGAGGAGAGUAGAACUCCAUGUGUAGCGGUGGAAUGCGUAGAUAUAUGGAAGAAUACCAGUGGCGAAGGCGGCUCUCUGGUCUGCAACUGACGCUGAGGCUCGAAAGCAUGGGUAGCGAACAGGAUUAGAUACCCUGGUAGUCCAUGCCGUAAACGAUGAGUGCUAAGUGUUGGGAGGCUUCCGCCUCUCAGUGCUGCAGCUAACGCAUUAAGCACUCCGCCUGGGGGAGUACGACCGCAAGGUUGAA